GNCGUAACAAGGUUUCCGUAGGUGAACCUGCGGAAGGAUCAUUAAUGAAUAUAAAUCGUACUGUUCACGCAGUAUGUGGGGUGGUGACUUCGGUCCCGCUCAUUCAUAUCCAUAACACCUGUGCACUGUUGGAUGCUUGCAUCCACUUUUAAACUAAACAUUAUUGUAACAAAUGUAGUCUUAUUAUAACAUAAUAAAACUUUCAACAACGGAUCUCUUGGCUCUCGCAUCGAUGAAGAACGCAGCGAAAUGCGAUAAGUAAUGUGAAUUGCAGAAUUCAGUGAAUCAUCGAAUCUUUGAACGCACCUUGCGCUCCUUGGUAUUCCGAGGAGCAUGCCUGUUUGAGUGUCAUGAAACCCUCAAACCCAAGUUUUGGAUUUCGGUCCAUGCUUGAGUUUGGAUUUGGACGUUUGCCGGUGAUGAACCGACUCGUCUUAAAAGUAUUAGCUGGAUCUGUCUAUAUGACUGGUUUGACUGGCAUAAUAAGUAUUUUGCUGAGGACAUCUUCGGAUGGCCAGGACCUAGACUAUUGUCUGCUAACUAAACCAUCACUUUAAGUGCAUCUUUGGAUGUUACUAAUUGUGUAACUUUGACAUCUGGCCUCAAAUCAGGUAGGACUACCCGCUGAACUUAA
rnacentral:rRNA from 1 species